CAGGGACUGUUCUUCCAUCCUUUGCUGGAUUUCCCGCGCCUUCUAUCCCUGCAAAUCGAGCUCUGGCCUUCACCCCGGGCCUCCUAACUUCAGGGCUGACUGCGUUGUGGUGCUAAGUGACAAGUCGAGUGUUGGCUUGGGGACUGCGAUAAAUCUUAAGGAAGAGAGGAAACACAUGGGCUUUGGAGCUGGACACUUGGG
rnacentral:lncRNA from 1 species